rnacentral:lncRNA from 1 species
AAAGGGUGGGAAAAUGAGUCUCAGCUCCUAAUAAAUUCCUGAUUUGCAGCUUGCUCUAUCAGCGGAAGGAGCACUGAGCUUCUGCCUGGCGAAGGCUCCCAGAGGUCAUUCCAUCCAUCCCUCUGCCCCCGGCCCGGGCCAUCACACUCACGCCUGCACGCCUGAGUCCAGCCCAGGGAGACGGGGGAGUCCAGCCCUGAGUCCAGCCCAGGGAGACAGGCUUGAUCAGGGCAGGCAAGUACCCCGGAGACCCCCCCUCAGUAUCCCUGCUCUGAAUCUCACCCUUUUCUUCCUGGUCUUUCCUAGGAAAAGAACCUGGAAACUUCUUCACUGGAAAGUUCUUCACGUAGUUGAAUUUAUCUUUGUGAUACACAGAUUAUCCAAAUCUGAACUGAAAUUCCAGCUGGAUCCGGGGUGCCUCCCUAACCCACCUUCCCGCAGACCGUCCUAACCUGCCAGGAGGAGGCCCAGCUGCCGGCCCGAUUACCGGUCUGGAAGGAGCCUGGAGGGCAGGGAGGGAAGCGUCUACGGACUCCUAGAAUCCACGACACAACAGCCUUCCUCUGUCACCCUGUGGGGAA